rnacentral:rRNA from 1 species
CAAGACGAGGAUAACCGUUGGAAACGAUGGCCGAGACUGGAUAGGAAUACGGGAGGCAUCUUCUGUAUUUUAAAAGACCUGGCAACAGGUAUGCUUGAGGAGGGGCCUGCGGCGCAUUAGUUAGUUGGUGAGGUGAUGGCUUACCAAGACGAUGAUGCGUAGCCGGACUGAGAGGUUGAACGGCCACAUUGGGACUGAGAGACGGCCCAAACUCCUACGGGAGGCAGCAGUAGGGAAUUUUCGGCAAUGGGGGAAACCCUGAACCCGAGCAACGCCGCGUGAACGACGAAGUACUUCGGUAUGUAAAGUUCUUUUAAGAGGGAAGAAUGGCCCGUGGAAAAGCGGGCGUGACGGUACCUUUUGAAUAAGCCCCGGCUAACUAUGUGCCAGCAGCGGC